rnacentral:ncRNA from 1 species
AACUUGGUUGAUCCUGGCAGGAGUCAUAUGCUUGUCUCAAAGAUUAAGCCAUGCAUGUCUAAGUAUAAGCUUUUAUACGGUGAAACUGCGAAUGGCUCAUUAAAACAGUUAUAGUUUAUUUGAUGGUCAUUUUUACAUGGAUAACCAUGGUAAUUCUAUGGCUAAUACAUGCGCAAAGGCUUCCUUCUAUGGAGGGGCUGUGUUUAUUAGCUACAAAACCAACGCACUUUGUGGAGUCUUGGUGAUUCGUAGUAACCGAACGGAUCGCAGUUGGCUUUCGGGCCCGCGAUUGAUCAUUCAAGUUUCUGACCUAUCAGCAUUCGACGGUAGGGUAUUGGCCUACCGUGGCAGUGACGGGUAACGGGGAAUUAGGGUUCGAUUCCGAAGAGGGAGCCUGAGAAACGGCUACCACAUCUAAGGAAGGCAGCAGGAGCGCAAAUUACCCAACGAAAACAGUUUCGAGGUAGUGACGAAAAAAUAACAAUGCAGGGCAUUUAAUGCUUUGUAAUUGGAAUGAUGGGAAUGUAAGACCCUUCCAGAGUAACAAUUGGAGGGCAAGUCUGGUGCCAGCAGCCGUGGUAAUUACAGCUCCAAUAGUGUAUAUUAGAGUUGUUGCAGUUAAAAAGCUCGUAGUUGGAUUUCUGUCGCGGUCAGCCUGCGCUGCCCGUAUGGGUGUGCGCGUGGUUUGCCCGCGGCUUUCUUCCGGUAGCCUCCGGCUCUUAAUUGCGUCGGUGGGUGUUCUGGAACUUUUACUUUAAGAAAAAUAGAGUGUUUCAAGCAGGCUUGUGGCCCUGAAUACUGCAGCAUGGAAUAAUAAGAUAGGACCUCGGUUCUUUUUUGUUGGUUUCUAGGAACAAG